rnacentral:lncRNA from 1 species
CAGAUUGUUACUUAGCACUGCCUAGGAUGUUACCCGAGUUCUAGAGCUGACGGUCCAAAGGUUUCUCAAGAAGAAAUGUACUCUCUGAGGAUGUGACUUUGGGUCAUUUCAGGACAGAAAGAAAGAGGAGUCCCAGGAACUGGGGAGAGGCUGGGCCCCAAAUGCAGGUGAAGAAAUGAGUCUGUGUGGCACAAAGGGGGAAUUAUGGAAGCUGUGAAGGAGAGUGGUUCAAACCUGAGUGUGCCGAGGAAAGUCAAAGAAUCCAGCCAUCUCCCACCAGAAGAAACAAUGGAAUUCAUUCUGAGAAGACUGGAGAAACGUGUGAGUAAUUUGCAAAUAUCUGAAGGCCUAUCAUGGGGGGAA